AACGAACGCUGGCGGCAUGCCUAACACAUGCAAGUCGAACGAGACCUUCGGGUCUAGUGGCGCAUGGGUGCGUCACGCGUGGGAACCUGCCCUUAGGUUCGGAAUAACUCUCCGAAAGGGGUGCUAAUACCGGAUAAUGUCUUCGGACCAAAGAUUUAUCGCCUUUGGAUGGGCACGCGUUGGAUUAGCUAGUUGGUAGGGUAAAAGCCUACCAAGGCGACGAUCCAUAGCUGGUCUGAGAGGAUGGUCAGCCACACUGGGACUGAGACACGGCCCAGACUCCUACGGGAGGCAGCAGUGGGGAAUAUUGGACAAUGGGCGAAAGCCUGAUCCAGCAAUGCCGCGUGAGUGAUGAAGGCCUUAGAGUUGUAAAGCUCUUUUACCCGGGAUGAUAAUGACAGUACCGGGAGAAUAAGCACCGGCUAACUCCGUG
rnacentral:rRNA from 1 species